CUUGGCAGGGAGACACUGACCUUGGGGUUAAGCUUGCAGAAAGCCCACGUCAACAGAGGGAAACUCUGUGACCACCUGUGUACUUUGGCUAUUAUAGUGAGUACACAACAAGUGCAUACAGAGGCCUGGGAAAAGCACAGGGAAGCAGAAGUCAGGGUGCCCAGUUUUCAUCUAACUUGGACAUUGGUCGCUUACAACUGAGUCACUGAAUUACUUCCUUUCCUUGAAUUACAUAUUUAAAACAGAACCAUCAUUGGGAAGAUUAUUUGAAAGAAAUGUGUCAUUUU
rnacentral:lncRNA from 1 species